rnacentral:rRNA from 1 species
AGAGUUUGAUCCUGGCUCAGGACGAACGCUGGCGGCACGCUUAACACAUGCAAGUCGAACGAGAGAAGAGGAGCUUGCUUUUCUGAUCUAGUGGCGGACGGGUGAGUAACACGUGAGCAAUCUGCCUUUCAGAGGGGGAUACCGAUUGGAAACGAUCGUUAAUACCGCAUAACAUAAUUGAACCGCAUGAUUUGAUUAUCAAAGAUUUAUCGCUGAAAGAUGAGCUCGCGUCUGAUUAGCUAGUUGGUAAGGUAACGGCUUACCAAGGCGACGAUCAGUAGCCGGACUGAGAGGUUGAUCGGCCACAUUGGGACUGAGACACGGCCCAGACUCCUACGGGAGGCAGCAGUGGGGAAUAUUGCACAAUGGAGGAAACUCUGAUGCAGCGAUGCCGCGUGAGGGAAGAAGGUUUUAGGAUUGUAAACCUCUGUCUUCAGGGACGAAAAAAGACGGUACCUGAGGAGGAAGCUCCGGCUAACUACGUGCCAGCAGCCGCGGUAAUACGUAGGGAGCGAGCGUUGUCCGGAAUUACUGGGUGUAAAGGGAGCGUAGGCGGGAUCGCAAGUCAGAUGUGAAAACUAUGGGCUUAACCCAUAAACUGCAUUUGAAACUGUGGUUCUUGAGUGAAGUAGAGGUAAGCGGAAUUCCUAGUGUAGCGGUGAAAUGCGUAGAUAUUAGGAGGAACAUCAGUGGCGAAGGCGGCUUACUGGGCUUUAACUGACGCUGAGGCUCGAAAGCGUGGGGAGCAAACAGGAUUAGAUACCCUGGUAGUCCACGCCGUAAACGAUGAUUACUAGGUGUGGGGGGACUGACCCCUUCCGUGCCGCAGCAAACGCAAUAAGUAAUCCACCUGGGGAGUACGACCGCAAGGUUGAAACUCAAAGGAAUUGACGGGGGCCCGCACAAGCAGUGGAGUAUGUGGAUUAAUUCGAAGCAACGCGAAGAACCUUACCAGGUCUUGACAUCGUAUGCAUAGCUCAGAGAUGAGUGAAAUCUCUUCGGAGACAUAUAGACAGGUGGUGCAUGGUUGUCGUCAGCUCGUGUCGUGAGAUGUUGGGUUAAGUCCCGCAACGAGCGCAACCCUUACUGUUAGUUGCUACGCAAGAGCACCCUAGCAGGACUGCCGUUGACAAAACGGAGGAAGGUGGGGAUGACGUCAAAUCAUCAUGCCCCUUGUGACCUGGGCCUCACACGUACUACAAUGGCUGUCAACAGAGGGAAGCAAAGCCGCGAGGUGGAGCGAACCCCUAAAAGCAGUCUUAGUUCGGAUUGUAGGCUGCAACCCGCCUACAUGAAGUCGGAAUUGCUAGUAAUCGCAGAUCAGCAUGCUGCGGUGAAUACGUUCCCGGGCCUUGUACACACCGCCCGUCACGCCAUGGGAGUCGGUAACACCCGAAGCCUGUAGUCUAACCGCAAGGAGGACGCAGUCGAAGGUGGGAUUGAUGACUGGGGUGAAGUCGUAACAAGGUA